rnacentral:rRNA from 1 species
AUGAACGCUAGCGAUAGGCUUAACACAUGCAAGUCGAGGGGCAGCAUGGUCUUAGCUUGCUAAGACUGAUGGCGACCGGCGCACGGGUGCGUAACGCGUAUGCAACUUGCCUCACAGAGGGGGAUAACCCGUCGAAAGACGGACUAAUACCGCGUACACUCCAUCUUGGGCAUCCAAGGUAGAGGAAAUGAAAUUCGCUGUGAGAUAGGCAUGCGUCCCAUUAGCUAGUUGGUGAGGUAACGGCUCACCAAGGCGACGAUGGGUAGGGGAACUGAGAGGUUGAACCCCCACACUGGUACUGAGACACGGACCAGACUCCUACGGGCGGCAGCAGUGAGGAAUAUUGGUCAAUGGGCGAGAGCCUGAACCAGCCAAGUCGCGUGAAGGAUGACUGUCUUAUGGAUUGUAAACUUCUUUUAUACGGGAAUAACAAGAGUCACGUGUGACUCCCUGCAUGUACCGUAUGAAUAAGCAUCGGCUAACUCCGUG